rnacentral:lncRNA from 1 species
GCAUCUCACCAGACUUGUGUCUUCCUAAACAUUCAUAGGUUCCACCCUGUUUUCAGCAAACUUUCCCUCCUCAAGAAUGCUAGAAGUUGAUCACAGCAGCCACUCCCUGAAUUUUGUAAUGUACUGAUGUCACAGUGUUUCCUUCCAGCUUGCAUCCUGCUCAGGUCACACUGCUGCAAGACGGCCCACCAAAGGGCGAAGGAAGGCAGCAGAGGCUGUCUAAGCUAGAGAGAAACACGGGUCAGAUUCUGUCACUGGCAAGAAGUAAAGUUCUGGAGAGGAUCUUAACUUUGCUUGCUUUCUUUGUACUCUCACAAUAAAUUACACAUAGGCCAACUUUACGGAUGACUGCGCAAAUGGUUUCUAAGCUUCCAGUGAAGGAGAUUUCAUGACCUCUAUGUCUGUGUUUCACAAUGUCUAUUUUUAUUAUUGCACAAAUGCAAGCACGCCACAUGGUACACGUGAAAGGGAAUUUUCACAUUUCUAUGGGCUGAACUGGUCUUCCAGGGCCUUCCAGGCGUGGAACUGAACGCAGAGUGACCUUAGAAAAGCUGGACUCUUAUUUUUCCAGUGGGCUGAUGCUCUGAUGUAAUGAGAUAUUUGACUUUUCAGGAAAAUUCGGGUGCUUAUCUUUCCUAACCAUAUCAGCUUCCUCUUCUUCCCCCGACACAGGAAGGUGACUGCUGAUUCUGGGAGCCAUGAAAAACAGCAGCUGAUCGUUGUGCAUGUACUCCAAGACUGCUUGUCAUGGGCAUCUUGGUCCUUCUUGUUUUUCCCUCCAAAAGAAAGAAACUCGUCUGCUUCAGAUCAUGUUUUCUAAAUCUCUUCUUAUUGCUUUGUCCUGCAGCCUCUGCUGCUUUCUUACACCUGCCCAGAAGUGGGGUGCCCCAUGACACACACCAAACCAGCAGGAUGUGAAUGGCAGACACUUCUUGAAGGAAAGACUAAUUAGUGAUUCAGCUCCGUGGAAAAGCUGCUGCCCCACAGCUGCUUGUGGGCUGGCUGCUGAUCCUCCCUGUCACGGCUCCUCGCCUGCUGCUCCCGCACGUUUCGUUGAGCCCUCCGGCUGCUAACCGCCCACCAGCUCCCAGGCUGCUCGCUCAUGAGCGCU